AUUGAACGCUGGCGGCAUGCCUUACACAUGCAAGUCGAACGGCAGCACGGGUGCUUGCACCUGGUGGCGAGUGGCGAACGGGUGAGUAAUACAUCGGAACGUACCUUAUCGUGGGGGAUAACGCAGCGAAAGCUGUGCUAAUACCGCAUACGCCCUGAGGGGGAAAGCGGGGGAUCGCAAGACCUCGCGCGAUUAGAGCGGCCGAUGCCUGAUUAGCUUGUUGGUGGGGUAAAAGCCCACCAAGGCGACGAUCAGUAGCUGGUCUGAGAGGACGAUCAGCCACACUGGGACUGAGACACGGCCCAGACUCCUCCGGGAGGCAGCAGGGGGGAAUUUUGGAUAAUGGGGGCAACCCUGAUCCAGCAAUGCCGCGUGAGUGAAGAAGGCCUUCGGGUUGUAAAGCUCUUUUGUCAGGGAAGAAACACCGGCUCUAACACAGUCCGGGAAUGACGGUACCCGAAGAAUAAGCACCGGCUAACUACGUGCCAGCCGCCGCCGUAA
rnacentral:rRNA from 1 species